ACACGACUACAUUAGACUACCCCCGUAGUCCCAGCCCUAAACGAUGCGCGUUAGGUGUAUCGGUGACCACGAGCCACCGAGGUGCCGAAGGGAAACCGUGAAACGUGCCGCCUGGGAAGUACGGUCGCAAGGCUGAAACUUAAAGGAAUUGGCGGGGAGCACCACAACGGGUGGAGCCUGCGGUUUAAUUGGACUCAACGCCGGGAAGCUCACCGGAUAAGACAGCGGAAUGAUUGCCGGGCUGAAGACCCUGCAUGACCAGCUG
rnacentral:rRNA from 1 species